CUGGUUGCUAUGGACGCGGGGAUGCUCUGGAGCGGCGCCCAAGCGGUCCCAUUCAAAGAGCUGGACGCGAGGAGGUAAAGAAGCUCCUUCAAGGCUGCGGCGGGCGCAUUUCCAGAGCUGGAAGACGAAGCCGGCACCGCAGCUCAAGAAGGGAGCCCGGGUAAAACCUGGAAAUGAAGAGUCUCCUCACAAACAGGGAUACCAUCUAACUCCUUGUCUGUGAAGCGAUGGAGUCUGCAUGUCAUGGCCAGUGGUUGAGACACAAUCCUGGAAUGGAGCCUCACUAGUGAUGCACCAGGAUGUGUUUGGCUCAGAUUGGGCCAAAUGACUACGAUAUUCCCGAAGAGUCUUCAUAAAGAAAAGGACGGUCAGCCUGUAGGUGGGUCACAGAGAAUGAGAAGCAGAGAGGAAGUUUUACAUCAAUGUGUGUUUGUUCUCUCGGUGGAUUAUAUUCUUAAAAAGCGACAUGACUCUGGCUUCUGUUCCUUCAGUGUGCCAUUAUACACCUGAAUAACCACCCGAAGUCAACCUUCACAGCAAGAGAGAAGUGAGAUCCAUUGACUGUGGGGAAUCUCUGACCCUAGAGUUCUUCCGUGAAAGCAUGCCUUUUCAGGGCUUUUCAAAGAUUCUGCUCUUCCAUCUCACCUCCAUUCAAGUUUCCUCUUCCUUGAAAUAUUUCCAACUCUGUUCACUCACAUUUUCUCCCAACUAUCAAACCCUGCUCCUUCUCUUCUGAGUAUUUCUUCAAUUUCAUUUAAAUAGGAGGAUAUCCACCCCUCUCCCUAUCUAAGGGAAGUAGGGAACAAACCCACCAUCCCCUCUAACUAGAUGUGCUGCUCAUGCUGUAUAAGGAAGGGAAGUUGUACGGUUCAAUUUAUUUGCGUGGUCGUCUCCUUUGUAGUGGUUCAGUUAAGGAAGGUCAUAUUAAUGCCAAAGUUUGGGCUUAAAGUGUUUUCUUAGAGAGAGACUUUUAUAAGAAGCUGUUUAGCAGCCCUUUCGAAUUUACCCAAAGGAGGCUGGGUGUGCUAGAGUGCGUUAGUCCGUGUUUGUGUGUGGUGUGUAUUUAAGUAAGGGGAUCGUGCAUGCCAUGGGUGGAAGAAGGAGUCACUCACCUGUGCUAGGGGAGGAGUUAGAGCGUCCCACCACCAGCAGCCAGGGUCUUUUUACUCACCAGGACACCCGAAAGUGCAACACAACAACCAGCACUGAAAGGACGAUGUCAUUGCCGCAGUGGAAGCCUGACCCAGGGCUUGCUGUUCCUAGGCUGAGGGCCCUGAGACCCAAGUUCCCCUGUUAGGGCGCCUGCCCCAUUUCCUUCUUGGAGGAAGCAGAGAAGCAGGGCUUGCCUGGAUGCUCCCGCCAGACACCAGGGAAAAGGGGUUAGGGACAGCUCACGAGCAACACUCCCCAGACCACCUUCAGGAAGGACACCUGUGAUAAGAUAGAAUAAACCAGCUCUUUCCUCCACUUGACCUAACGAAUAUUUCCACUGGCCUGGGGCAAAGAUGGGAAACCUUCCUCAUUCGCGCUUCAGGACCGGGGACACGGAUGAGCACGAGCACAGAGGGCACACGUGCUAUCAGA